AAUGAACGUUGGCGGCAUGGAUUAGGCAUGCAAGUCGAGCGAGAAGGAAAUCAAAGUUUACUUUGGUUUCCGGAGAGCGGCGAAAGGGAGAGUAACGCGUAGUUAUCUACCCCAAGGCCCGGAAUAGCUGCGGGAAACUGCAGGUAAUGCCGGAUAAUAUCCCCGGAUCAAAGGUGUGAUUCCGCCUUGGGAGGAGACUGCGUUGUACUAGCUUGUUGGUAGGGUAAUGGCCUACCAAGGCUACGAUGCAUAGCGGGCGUGAGAGCGUGUCCCGUCUCACUGGGACUGAAACACUGCCCAGACACCUACGGGUGGCUGCAGUCGAGAAUCUUCGGCAAUGGGCGAAAGCCUGACCGAGCGAUGCCGCGUGCGGGAUGAAGGCCCUCGGGUUGUAAACCGCUGUCGUAGGGGAGAAAGGACCGUUGGAGAGACGGUUUUGAUCUAUCCUAGGAGGAAGUCCGGGCUAAGUUCGUGCCAGCAGCCGCCGUAAUAC
rnacentral:rRNA from 1 species